rnacentral:lncRNA from 1 species
AGAGCCCCUUUGACCCUGGCUAACAAGGACAGCCUGACUUGGAUCCCACUAUGCAGGAAGGAAGGCGACUCUUCCCCGCACCUCUUGCUACGAUUAGGACUUGCGACUUGGUGAAAACAGGAAUCAAAACUUGGGCCUAUUUCUCCUGAGGUCUGCUUGCCUAGAACAAUUCGUAACGAUGAAUCUUAUUAAAAAGAGAAAGUCCUCCCCGACUUUAUCUUUUUCCGCCCAGAAUCCGAUAAGGAAGACUUGUUCUGGCCCCCUCAGCUCUCUGACCUCACCUACCAGAGGAGAGAGUGGGAUCCUCUAACACUCGAGCCGUCAUCCCAGCACUAGGGGACAGUGACCAGUGUGGCUCCCGUGGCCAGAACCCUUCUGAAGUUUGGGUUGCCCUGUGGUCUUCGCCUUCAAAGCAGGCCGCCACUUGAAUCCUUCUGGAACGGACAGUGUUGCUGUAAACGCCGCGGAAUAGUAUCUUCUAAGUAUUCGUAGCUUCUUUCUUGAGGGAUCUCGGGAACGUUCCGUGUAUUAACCACUAACGUAUUCCAAAGUUAACUUCGUGGUAAAGUCGCUGGGGAAAAAAAUAACUGCUCCAGUUCCACAGGUGAUUGAAACAAAAGUGAUCUGUUUCCCAAACUUCCUUGAUGGUAAAGAAUGACUUGGGGUACUAAUUAAAAAUAAAAAUAAUUGCGUCAUUUCCA